UACCAGAACACGAAGGCGAAGGGCCCUAGAACCUUACGGAUCGCCAGCUAAAGAUUCUGCCACAGUGUCUGUGGGUCCUCUGUACACCGCAGCCCUAAAGAAUGAUGUUCCCUCUGCAUUGGCCUCUGGAGGCAGUGAGCCGUUAAACAAGGACAAUAUGAACGUGGCUGGAGUGGUGGUGGGGGUCAUUUUUGCCACCGGCGGUGCUGUGUUGCUGGUUAUGGCUGGAUGGUUUGUGCUGAAGAGGUUUUGCUGGGCCGGUGCUCUGCCUCGGGCUUUCCACUAAGAGAUCCAUCAACUCGCCAUCUGUUUUGCGUUGAAUGAAGCUUAAUUUGAUAUGCCUAUAAGACGUCCGAUCACAUCACAGCAUCUGCACAAACCAGCAAAGAACCGCUUUGCAUAAUGCCUAUUUUGCAUAUUUUAAUCUAUUUAGACAGCACUGUGUAGUCUAGUCAUCAUGUGCUUGGAAGAAAACUCAAAUGCUUAGUUCUCUCAUGUAAAUGCAAAUACUGCUGUUGACAUAGACAUAGACAUAGACAGUUGAAUAUGUUUUAUACUGUAAGAGGUAUGUAGGCACAGCUGAUUUUUUGAGAGGAACAAACUGUGGAUAAAAUCCUUUUGUAAUAUUUUGAUUACACAUUGCUUCUUCUACACAUUAUCUCAGGGGUUUUCAAACUUUUUGAUGCCAGGACCCUGAUCGAAAGACCCUCUUCUUGAAAUAUAAAGGCAGCUAUAUUUGAUUAUGUAUAAAGAACCAUUUAUAUUGUGUGAGAAAUAUUAAGUUUGAUAUUAUAAAGACGAUGUUGUUUUCUAAAUUAAAUAAUUGACUUUUAGUUUGACUGUAUCAUAAGAAAGUACAUUUUCAAUUAAUAUCUGGAAGGUUUUACUGACUAUUAGAGAUGAAUUUAGAAUAAAAAUGAUAUUUGUAAUUAAAUUAAGAUUUAUUUGUAAAGAGC
rnacentral:lncRNA from 1 species